rnacentral:rRNA from 1 species
GACGAACGCUGGCGGCGUGCCUAAUACAUGCAAGUCGAGCGGAUCUUCAUUAGCUUGCUUUUGAAGAUCAGCGGCGGACGGGUGAGUAACACGUGGGCAACCUGCCUGUAAGGCUGGGAUAACUUCGGGAAACCGGAGCUAAUACCGGAUAAUCCUUUUCCUCUCAUGAGGAAAAGCUGAAAGACGGUUUCGGCUGUCACUUACAGAUGGGCCCGCGGCGCAUUAGCUAGUUGGUGAGGUAACGGCUCACCAAGGCGACGAUGCGUAGCCGACCUGAGAGGGUGAUCGGCCACACUGGGACUGAGACACGGCCCAGACUCCUACGGGAGGCAGCAGUAGGGAAUCUUCCGCAAUGGACGAAAGUCUGACGGAGCAACGCCGCGUGAGCGAUGAAGGCCUUCGGGUCGUAAAGCUCUGUUGUCAGGGAAGAACAAGUACCGGAGUAACUGCCGGUACCUUGACGGUACCUGACCAGAAAGCCACGGCUAACUACGUGCCAGCAGCCGCAGUAACAC